GUGAGAUUAACAAAAUAAGAUUCACUUAAGAACAAAUGGAUCUGGAUUAUUCGAAUAUGAGUCAUUACCAACUUUACUUGACCUCUUUUCACUAAAAAAGAUGGUUAAGACAUAAAAAUAAAGUUUAGAAAAUAUCAUAAAACUGUUUGAAAAAGAUCAAUUUAUUAUUCAUAAUUAAAGAGUAAAUAAGAUAGGUUAGACACCUUCAUCCGAAUUCAAACCCAAGACCUUGUAGUAUGUGAGUUCUUUUACAUAAUUUUUUUACCUUUACAAAAAAGGUAAAAAAAAAUAGUAUAAAAAAAAAAAAGAUACAUAAAUUUUUUUAUACAUGUCUAAUGAUACUUCUUUUAUUGAUCAAAACAUCAUUUAAACAAAAUCUUUAAAAGAACUAAUUUCAGUAAUCAUAAAAUCUUUAAAUCUAAAAUUCAUCUUGUAGGGCUUCUUUUUGGUAACUUUCAUUUUCAUUUCUUUUUUGGUUUUAGACUUUUAGAAGUAUUUGCCCCAUUCUUUCCCAACACCUCUACUUCUUCGAGAUUUCCACAUAUCCGUGUGAUUAUGUUAAGAAAGUCAACUCUUAUGUCACCUUAAAAGUUGAUUCUAAUACAGUUUUGUCAUCUAUGACCACAAUAAGACACUAUAUAAUUAAUAUCAAUGAUCAAUAAGGUGACAAAUAUUGGGAUAUAAGAUUAGGUGUACUUCCUCUAAAAAAAAUUAGGUCCUUAGUUAGUUUGUAAAAUAGUAUUAGAGAUUUAGUGUAUAUUGUUGUAAUAUAAGUAUAUAACCACCUCAUUAUAGAGGCACUCUUUAUGAUUUGUAACAUACUUAAGGUUAAAUAUGUUUUUGGUCCCUGUAAAUAUGUCAACUUUUCGUUUUAGUUUCUCUAAAAUUUCCUUUCAACUUUUAGUCCCUCAAAAAAAUUUCAUCUUCACUUUUGGUCCCUCCUUUAAAAUAAACUCAUAUGUAGAAUUCAUAUAUUUGAAUAAAAUUUUGCAGAAAAAUUCUUAAUAUUAUAAGAAUCUCUCCCAAAAAAAUUUAGAAUUUUUUAACAAAACAUGAAUUUAAUAUGAAUUUUUAUAUUUUUGUGGUUAAAAAUUUAUAUUAAAUUUAUGUUUUGUUAAAAAAUUCUAAUUUUUUUUUUGGAAAAUAUUUUUACAAUAUUCUACACAUUUCUGCACAAUUUCAUUAAAAAAAAAAAUACUAAAAUUAACUUUAAAAUAGGAACCAAAAGUAGUGAUUGAAAAUUUUAUAGGGACUAAAAGUUGAAGGAAAAUUUUAGAGGGACUAAAAUGAAAAGAUAAUUAGGGACCAAAAACAUAUUUAACCCUACUUAUUAAUUACCAUCAAUACAACAAUUAUAUUCUUCUUUCACUAAGUGGAGUCAAAAGAAAUAGUUUAUAUGAAAUAAUAAUAUCACAAGUCACCUACACAUAUAAAUAUUUGUAUAAAGUGAUGGAACACACAUAAAUUUCAUUAGAUAAAAAAACGAAUAACACUUGUACGUAACUAAUAAUUUAUACGACAUGACUAGACUUUAAUGUUUUACAUAACAGAAUAAAUUUUCACAGUCCUAUAAAGAAUUUAUGGACGUGAGGUGAACAAACAUUGCUGAAACAUGCUUAGCAAACAAUGAAAGCACCACCUUAACAGCUUCCUAUUUUAAUACAAAAAACAACCAAUCAAUGUUCCACAAUAUCCCUUUCAUAACACCAUCAUCUAAUUGCAUCACCUACGGCAUUUUAUUUAUUUAAUAAUAUCAAAAGGUGACCAAAAUUGUCAUUAAAUUAAUCAAA
rnacentral:lncRNA from 1 species